AUAAAAGCCUUCACAACUGGAUUUGUUUUGAAACAUUGAUGUUUUGAUGAUUUCUAUAUUAUUGUUGGAAAGGUGAAGCAUUCCCAAAAAGCUAAUGCUACACCACUAGAUGCUUGGGUGAUAGCCAGUUCCAAUGGCAUAGCAAAUGCACAUUGUAUGUGUAUGGCCGGUAAUAGUGAAGUUUGCAGCCAUAUUGCAGCAAUCUUAUUUGCAGCUGAGUAUGCCCACAGCAAGACAGAA
rnacentral:lncRNA from 1 species